rnacentral:rRNA from 1 species
CAGCUCUCCGAGUAGUGUGGACGUUUAUUGGGCCUAAAGCGUCCGUAGCUGGUUUUGUAAAUUCUUUGUUAAAUCAACAAGCUCAACUUAUUGACCGCAGGGAACACUGCAAGACUUGGAACCGGGAGGAGUCAGAAGUAUGUCAGGGGGCGCGGUAAAAUGCAUUAAUCCCUGAUAGACUACCUAUGGCGAAGGCAUCUGACCAGAACGGGUUCGACAGUGAGGACGAAGGCUAGGGGAGCGAACCGGAUUAGAUACCCGAGUAGUCC